CUCCUCUUUUGCUUCUCACAGUUUACACUUUCCUGACCUGACAAUAUCUUGUUUUCUUCUUCUAAUUUACUACUGUUUUCCUGUAUGUUAAAUGUACAGAUAGUUGUUUUUUCACAUUUUUUCCAAUUGAAAAUUUAAAAGGACUUUGAGAUCAUAGAAAGGUUCCUUAAAAGGGGAAAUGAGCAAUUUGAGAAGGAAUCACUGAAGCUCUAUGUUCACAUACAUGAUGGCAAGGAGUGAUGAAUCAGUCAUAUCUUCCAUACUUCAGUGAAAUGACCAUCUCUCUCCAGGGAAGUGAAAUUAUGGUCACACAUCUUUAGUUCAUGCGUCAAUAACAACUACAUUUUAAUGUUUCUUGAGGCCUCCAACAAUUAAAAGGUUUUGCUGUUGAUGUUGUUUUUUGUUUGUUUGUUUGUUUGCUUGACAG
ensembl:lncRNA